AAGAUAAUACUAAAAAUCAUUUUAAAGCUAAGUCAGAUAUCUGCAUCAUGAUGCACUUAUCCUUUGUUGUAUAUUCACAACAAAGGACUCCUGAAUUGUGGCCCAACAAUUUCAGGUCAAAUUACUUCUUGAAAUGCUUGUGAGAAAAUGCGGUGUAGAUGCUGUUAGAGCAGUGAUGCCUGAGGAGCAUAUGAAACUCCUUACAAACAUAAGAAAGAUCAAAGAGUGGAAAGAAAGAAAAGCAAAAUCUGAUGAGGAUUAAGAAUCAAUU